rnacentral:tRNA from 1 species
GCCUUUGUAGUCUAGCGGCUAUUACGCUGCCUUGGUAAGGCAGAUGUCGAGAGUUCGAAUCUCUCCAAAGGCU